rnacentral:lncRNA from 1 species
ACUUUUCUUCUCUUUGUUUCCUUAAGACUAAUUGUGGAGAGUUUUGAUUAAUUUUGCAGCUCCAUGGACACCGUCUUCGUGGAUGCUCCUGCCGCCGAGCACGACGGAAAGUGCAAGUGUGGCACAGGCUGCUCAUGUGUGAGCUGCACCUGUGGUCACUAAACCCAUACAACCAAAUUAAAGAUGUAAACGAAUAAAGUGUUUGUGGGAAAACAACGUUGUGGCUUUGUCUUUGGUUUGUUUAUAGUAUUUGUGUCUGUUGAGUGACAUGUAGUGUCUGUGAAAACCUGUCACUAUGUUUCUGUGAUUGUGUCAUAUAAUCGCCAUGUUCGUGGUCUUGUGAUGUUAUGAAAUGAUAUUAUUAGAAUACAUGCUUUGGCUCUCUUAAUUCCAUUUUAUUUUCUCCCUAACCAUAAUUUUGCUUCACAUCAUAGCUGCAAUUAAUCAAGGAAUUGCAGAUAGGAAAGUAAUAGAUGUAUUCUUGCAUACAAUAUUGUGGAUAACAAUGGACUUAUAGCUCAAGUAGCUUAAUUUACCCUUUGAUCUGAGGUUUGAUGUUCGAUUAUCCCUCCGUUAUCACCGUUACAUAAAAAUGAAAUAAAAUAUGACGGAUAUGUCCAAUAUGUUCUUAUUUGAAACCCUUUUGGAUCUUGGGAUUGGUAUUAAAUGGGAGACGAUUAGAAUGCUCAAUCAUUUUAUUUAGCAUUUGAAGAUGUUUUGAUUCCUUUUGCUCUUCCUUUGAGCCACCAAAACGAAUGGCACAAAACGCAGAAAUAGAAAUCCCAUUUCACUGUAUGGGUGGUGUGACUAGGCAAAGGGAUUUACAUGAAAUGAAACGCAUAGCCGCAUGACAUCGCUUGAUUCGUUUAAGACAACAACAACUAGGCGUGUAUGUUUAUUUAUGUUAGUCCUCGUGAAUAAGAGGUUAGCAAGGCAUUAGUUCAUCAAGGAAUUUACGAAUAUUUGAAUGAUAAACUAAUUCGAGCGAGCCUUACAAUUAGCCAAGACAAUAGCAUAUAUUAAGCUCACAUGUUGUAAGGGUGUAAGUCUCAGUAAAAUUUAAGUAAAUACAAGUCAAAUAUGGUUGCAGACAGAACUACAGAAGCUCUUCUUUCUUGUAUUAUUCACCAACGUUCAAAUAUUACCAUGUUGUAUGUCUAAACCUAAAGUAAAUGGUUUCCUUUCAAAACUGUUGAGCGUAGCCUUCAAUUUAUUAUCUUAACCAUCCGGAAAUUUCAAACAUUGAAGCCCUCUGCACGAAGGCACUUGAGAUGAGCAUCGAUCCAUUUUGUGCAAGCAUCUUGACCAUGUUCUACAAUGCAUUCAUCUCGCAGCUUCUUAGUAUCCGGGCAAGCACAGCAGAUCUUCUUCUUCGGCUUUGUGUCCAGGGCAGGAGUAGUGACUGCUGAUCCUUGAUUAGGCUGUGACCUUUGCAAAACCAAGGCAGAGGAAGUAUUUUCUGCCGGCAGUCCACCCAUUUCUCAAAGUUCUUCAAGACCUAACAGAAAUAUGCUACUAAAAAACAAGAAAGAAAACAAAGAACAUCAGCUUCACUCAGAGCAGCCUCAAUGAUCAACAUGUAUUCAUUAAGGAUGGUAUGCACCAUAUCAUACCUAAACAGAUUGAAUGGAAGAGAGAGAUAUGGCGUCGUAACUUAUAGAAAACACCCCGUAAAAUACGUUAAUCACGGAUUACCCUAAUCACUAGACACUAGCUCAUGUAAAAGUGAGGAAAUCAACCGAAAAGCAAAAACCCUAAACCCUACUUCUCCAAACGAGCACAAAUCCACAGGAUCCCAAAACAAAAAACCCAGAUGAAGAAAUAAACUUUUUCACCAAGGUUCCGGAUUUCAAUCAAGAUUCAAGACACGUCCUUUAUCCAACACCCACUCGGGCAUUUCUUCAAACAUACGGUGGGCACUUUGUUACUACAAGCAAACUCCCGCAUAAAUACUACAUAUUCACCAAAAGCGGCAGAAACUAUAAAUAUUAAAUACAAAGGCAAAGCAGAAAACCCAGAUGAAAAGUAAAGCAACCCAUCUAAUCAAACAACAACACAGCCAUAACCACAGAGAUUUUGGAACUUUACAUACAUUUAUUGGAUGGACAAGUAAAUAUGUCUCAGAAGAGUAACGAAAUUGGUAACAGAAAUGUAUGAGACAAGGAAGGAAUUACUUACCGCGGAAAAGGAAGGAGGAGGAGAAGCUGAAAGGAAGAAGCUUUGCGUUUUCUUGAAGGCAGAAAGUGGGAGCAGAGAAAAGGUGUUUGUUCUCUGUAGACGAAAUUGGCCGCUCAAAAUUUCAAGGCUAAAACUGGGGCGCGUAUGAGUCGAAGGGUCAACCCUUGUCUUGGGCUCUGCAGGCCUACAAAAAAUAUGCUGAAAACUUUCGGGCUUGUUUGGUAUUUUAUUUGAAAUUUUUUAUAAUUUCUCAAAUUUUUGCUGAAAAUAAUUUUCUUUAAAACUCAAAAACUUGUUUGGUAUGCGAGUUAAAAUUUUUAAAUCUUACAACUUAAACAGGACAAAGAGAUCAAAAAGAGGGGGUUGAGAGAGAAAGAGGAAAGAGGAGGAAAGAAAGUAAGAGAUGAUUGGAGGAAAGAAAAAGAAGUGAGAGGAUCGGUGGAGAUAGAGAGAAAGAAUCAGGAGAAUGGAGAGAGUAGAUUAGAGGAGAGACGAAAAAUGUAAAAAUAAAAAUAAUAAUAAUAAGAGAAAGUGGAGAGAGAAAGAAGAAAAUGGAAAGAUAGAUUUGGAGUGAGGGGGUAGAAGGGAGAGAAAAGAAAUGAUUGAGUUUAAAUUUAAAAAUUCUAAAAACUCACUUUUUUAGAUAAUAGACUACAUUUUUUUAGUUAGUCUUGAGUUAAGUUUUUAAAAAUAGUUCUACCAAACAAGUUUUUAAGGCCUAAAACAUAAAAAUUGUUUUUUAGUUUAAAAAGUUGCAUUCAAGUAAAGUACCAAACAUGCUCUUCAUUUUUUUUAAUUUUAAAUAUUUUUUUAUAGCUUUUAUCAAAUUGACUCUUUUUUUUUUUUUUUAUCUUAUCAGACAAAUUAAUCUAACGUCAAUAUAAAAUUGUAGCACAAACUGCCAAAACAAUGUUAAAAAUGGCCUUCUAAUUGUAUGUUGUACUCUAUUUACAAAUUCUAAAAAAUGUAGAUGUGAAUUACAUUAAUUUGUCACACGUUGUCGUAAAACCAAAUGAAAGACAUAAAUCGUAAAACCAAGUUAAGGACAUAAGUAAAUGCAUUUCCCAUCAUUCUAAAAAAUCUAAUAGCAAAUAGAAGCAGACCGGAUAAGGAAUCCGCAGUUCGGAUCAAAAGCCAGUCGUGAGGCAUUGAUCCUUGGAGCUUGCUUGCUAUAUCAUGGCCAUGGAUGAACACAGAGAAUUCAUUCAUAAGAGCAAAACAUCAUCAAGUCUCCACAAAUCAAAGCAACAACAGAGUGGAGCAUACAUAUUAGGAAAAACCCAGAUAACCCCAUAGCUUAAAACCCCAAGUAAAACCCUAGUCUUUCUUCUCUACACACAUAAACUUCAAGACGUGAGCGUAGUCACAUUAGCAAGAUAAGAUGUGCUCUCUUAUGUACCGAGUUUAAAUCCUCUUGUUCGCAGUUUAGAAUAUCGCUUGUAUCAUAGAACAAAACAAAAUUCCAUUAUAUUCAACCACAAUUUGCUCAAUAAAAUACUCUGAAAAGAUCACAUAUAUAUCAAAAACCCUAAACCCUAAAGUCUCACUUUACAAAUCCCAGAAACCAGAGCAAACUAAUCAGAAGCCAACCUUACUUAUUGUCAGUGGAGGAAUGGAUCUCGAUUGAGAUAUUUCAGCAACUACAACAUGCUGAAUAGCUGAUUGUCAGUGGAGGGAUUUUUCUAUUUGUGGUGAAUUUCAACUACAAACAUGACCUUUUAAAAAUUAUAAUAAUUGUAACUGUUGGAUCAAAUUUCAAUGGUCUGGAUCAUUUGAUUCUUAGGCUCAGUUCCUUUGGGUCCGGAAGGGAUCCGGUUCCCUUAGGCUGCACAUUUCUUCUAACUGCCAAUGGGAAUUUGACAUUUGAGUGAGGGUGGGUCAUGGUGUUGACGUGGCGGCUUUUAAGGGAAAGAACUGUGAGGCUCAAGUGUAGGAUGAGUGUAGAGGAUCCCAACCACUUUUGGGAUUGAAGCUGAAAAAGAGCUUUUUUAAAUAAAAAGAAAAUAUUACCUACUGAUUAGCAAAAAGAAAAGGGUAGGCAUUUUUUGCUGAUUUACAAAAUGAAAAAGGUAUGCUUUUUCUGCUGAUAAGCACAAAGGUAGGAAUUGAUAAAGUAACAAAGUGAGAAAUUAUUACUGUAGCGAUUCUUAAACUCUCGGUUUUCUAUUUUCACUUUUUUUUUUAAUAUUUUUGUCCAUUAAUUUUGUUUCGAGUAAUUGAAUCUUCGCUACGAAAAACAUAUGUAGAAGAAAAAAAUUAAGUGAGAAAAUCACUUCCUAAUUUUUUUUUUGGCUACUGCAAAAAGUAUCACCAUACCUGUUACUAUUACACACACUACAAGAUGAAUAGCUGCUAAGGUUAAUAUGUUUUCUUGGAAAAAAAAAAUGAUGCACAUAUUAUAAUUUAAGGUAUUUCAACCUUCCAUGUCCACCCAUCAUAUGUUUCACCAACAACAAGAAUCGAGUUUUAUAAUUUAAGUUUGAUGGAAAUGAGAUAAGGAUGUUUGGGAAUCAAAAGGAGUAGGAGGAUAGAGUUUUGCUUAUUUGGGGAAAAUGGUUAAUGAUUCAAACUCUAGUUCCUUCUCCUCCUUGCGUUGGCGCCUUGAUAUGGAGAGUUGUUCAGAACAAAAAUAGAUACAAAUAAGGAAGGUUGAUAGCUUAUUCUAUUUUUUGGUCUAAGGUUUUAAAUUAUAGAUUGUCACUUAGUACUACGGUCUAAUGGUAUUCAUAUUCACUUGUAAGUGAAAUGUCUUAGGUUCGUUUCUCGUCAAAUGCGAAUUUGAACCAUAUUAUUGCUAACUCAUUGUGAAGUUUAGCCCACUCUCCCAUCUCCUUAGUGUAGAUGCUAUCAUUUCUUUGAAGAAAAAGAAAAUGUUUUAAAUUGUAGAUUAAAAAGUAGAAAAUUCGGAUAAGGUAUGGGCUAGGUGUCUGAAGAGGAGUUUUGGGUGUAAAGAGAGGAGGCAGAUUCUCUCCUCUCUCACUUUCUGUGCCCUCCUGUUUUGUGUGGUCAUGGUUAAGCCACGUCAACAUUUUAUAUUAUUUUUUUUAUAGAGAUAAUAAGAUAAAAAUGAAUAGUAAUAUAAAAUGUUGACGUGGCUUAACUGUGACCACACAAACAGAAGGGUACGGGAAAUGGGAGGGCAGAGAAUCUGCCUCUGUAAAGAGAACCCUUCAACUUCAAUGCGACUCACUUCAAGCGCAUGGCCCAAUGGAAGGAUAUACUAUAGCUCUAAAUCGUUGCAACACAUCCAUAUCAAUGACUAUCGAAAUCACAUUAUUUCCCCAAAAUAUCAAAAUAUUUUCAACCUCGCAAGAGACAUGCCAAAAUGGCCACAUCUUCGUCACCAUCAACCGUCGAUUAUGUUGAUCCCUCGGUCGUCGCUUCGGUUGAUCCCUCCUCCGCCAUCAUCGCAAGCCCUCAUCCACCAUCUGUUACAAUCAGCCCCUAAUUUUCUUGUAAAUAAUCUAUUAAUGUGAAUUGGCCACAAUACUUCAAGAAGAGUAAAUUUAUAAAAAUAUUAUAACCUAUUACAGAAAAAAUAUUUUCAAGUAAAAUAGAAAGAAAUAUGAUUUCAAAAUUAAAAAAAUAUGUAUUAGAACCUAUUCUACCCAACCCUAGCCACACAUGCAUGCAACCCGACGAAUAUGUCCCUAGAUCCACCCCAACCUCACAUGUUACAGCGUAAGUUCCACCAUCAUAGUCUCAAGAAAUUAAUUCCGACAGCCUUGUCUCCAACUAUAUAAUAGAGAAACAAACUGCAAUUGAGAGAGCCAUAUAUUACCCUUUCUCUUUAUUUAAAUUUAAAUUUACAGAAGAGAAAAAUGAAAAUCAAUGAGAAAUGACACAUAUAAGAGAUAAAACUUCCAAUCUGAAAAUUAUUAAGGUUGUGACAUAGAAAAUUAGGGGGGGGGGGCGUUGCAAGAAAAUUGGGAGAAGAGAGAAUGUUGGGGAGGAGGGUCGGGGAGUUGGGAGGAGAAUAAUUUUUCUCUUAACUUUUUUAUUUUAUUUCAUUUUUAAUUAUUUUAAAUCAAAUAGAUAAUUUUAUAAAUAAGUAUAAUAAUCUAUGAAUUUUUUAACAGAGAUGGAAUGUCCUUAAUUGGCUAACAGAGAUAAAUACAAAGACCGAAUUGGCCAAAUUUAAAACACGGAGACCAAUUGAGCCAAUGAUUAAAACACAAUGACCAUUGUGAAUUUUAAGCCAAUUUUCUAAUAAAGAUUUAAUGGAACAUCUUUAUUUGGUUAACGGAGAUAAACAUGAGGACUAAAUUGCCCAAAUUGAAAACACGAAAACUAAAUUUGCCAAAUAGCUAUAACACAGGGACCAUUUUAACAUUUAAGCCAAAAAGAUUUUCCACACGUAUCAACUUAUUAUUUUCCACCCAUAUUGUGUUCCUAAAGGGACAUCAAACUGUAUUUCUACAAUAUGGAAUUGUUUCUUACAUGUAAGAACCCGCAUUAUCUUUUCAAGGCUCCUAAUGCAAUCCCUUGGUUCCUUAUGGUGGAUUGGAAGAAUUGUUUAUGACAACCUUGUCAAAUGUGGUUUAUAUGUACACAUAUUUAUCAAGAAGGAAAUUAGGUUGCGAUCUUUAGCUUCAUUUAGAACAGAUAGGUAUGCUUAUCACUAGUGGUCUACGGUUCCAAAUUUUGUUGCCUCUGCUCAUGCUCGUGACAUUUCAUUUUGUCCUUGUUGUCGGUUUCUUUGAUCAUUUGGUCAUUGUGGGUUCUCACUUUUACGGGAGGAUAGGUGUCUUAUGAACUUAUAAAAAUAAAUAAUAAAUAAAAAGAUUCUCGUUUCAGUGCACUCAAAACAUAUAGGAGGUUAUUCAUUAUAAUUUAUAAUCCAAUCCUAAAGACCAACCAGGCAAAAAUACAUUAUUUAUGAACCAUUGAUGAAGUCAGGGGAUGAAUGGACUCAAUCUCAUUUGAGAAUGAGUGGGUUUAGUUGCUCAUGUCAGUUUCCAGUUUUCCAUUUACUACAACCAAUGACAUUGAAAAAUCCAAAAUCCGAUUUCAUAUAUAGCUUGCUCCGCUACGCUCAAACCCCCACUCUUUCUCCUGUGGUCAAAUUUAUUUGUUCCUUCUAUUAACAAUGAAUCACUUUUAUUUUUCUUUUUUUUAAAGUACGAUAUUUAUUGAUUAUAUGUAUCAAUAAUUCGUAUGAAGAUGAUAAGAUAUUUAGUGGGCUUUGAUAAAAAUCAUGUCGGAAAUUUUAACCAUAAUAAAAUGUUAACCUUAAGAAUUUUAAGCCUUUUUUGUUUAUUUCUUUAAUUUUUUUGGUGAACGUUUAUUUCUAUUUUGGUCCCUUUAAAUUCACUAACUACACCUACAAACUUUGAUUUGGACAUGGUUUAACAGAAGAGUCUUGCUCACCUAAGAUCAUCUCCAACCGAAGAGUCCAGAGGGCCAGAGGGCCAAAAAAGGCCCAAAAAUCAUCUCCAACCGAGGGUUUGGCCAGAGGGCUCGUGGGCCCCACAAAAUCUGAAAGGGCCAAAGGGCUGGCUAGAAAUCUCAUCAAUCCUAUCGGUUAUAUCCGAUAGGAAUUCUAAGCCAAAUUUCAAAUGCAACGGCUAGCUGACGUUAGUUACUGUUGAUUUUUUUUUUUGGGCCAAAUAUAUUUUUUUUAAUUCUUAAAUUCUCAUUUUUUUCCUAUGAAUACCUAAACCAUUCAUUCACCAUUCCACACAAAUUUUUCACCAUUUCAAUUCUCAUAUUUUCUUACCUCUUUCAAAAAUAGUUCCUUCAAUUCUUUCAAUAAUUUUCAAAUGGCCUCGUCUGCAAUGAAAGGUAGGGCUUGGACCCGAAAAGAAGAUGAAGCUCUUUGCAAGGCUUAUAGAUGUGUGUCGGAAGAUAGUGUGAGGGAGAGUUCUCAAACAAGUGAAAGUGUUUGGACUCGUGUGUCCAAAAAAUACUUAGAUUUCUACGAAGGCACCGUUCCACUAAAUAUCCGAAACCAUGAGAGUUGUUCUUCAAGAUGAAAAAAACAUCUUCACCCAAGUUUGAACAGAUGGCAUCAAGCACUGUUAGCAGCCGCAAGUAAACAUAUAAGCGGCGCUAACUACUACGACGAAGUAAGUGUUUUCACAAUUUAUUUUAAAUAUUUAAUUAUAUUACAUUUAAUUUCAUGAAUUACUUUCCCUUAGUUUUUGUAAAUAUAUUUAAUUAUAUUACAUUUAAUUUCAUAAAUUAAUUUCCUUUAAUUUUUGUAAUUAUAUUUUCUAGGUACGGCAAGCGGAGGAAUUGCAUAUGGAGGGCAGCUUGAAACCCUUUCAGUUUCACAGUUGUUGGGAAAUUUGUAAAGAUUGGGUGUUAUUUGAAGAUCCACCUCAACAUAGAGUAGCUCCUACACCAAUGUUCGGAACUACAUCCUCAGCUGCAGAUAUGGAUGAAGAUGGAUCUCCUGCCAUUAGGGUAGAAAAUUCGUCUUCGGGUGAAGGUUCCAUACCUAGGGCUAUGGGACGAAACAAAGCUCGAAGGUUGAAGGAAAAGGGUAAGGCAAAUGAUGAUUACGCCGCUCAAUAGGAAGUGGCAGCCUCAUUGCGAUUAAUGGCGGAGCAAAAUGCCAUUGCCGCGGAAGAAAGGAACCGUAGGCAUGAAGAACAGGCCAAACAAAUAUAAGAAGAGAUGGAUGAUAAGAAUAUGGAAAUGAACACUUCGAAUUACACUCCAAUGAGUAAGGCCUAUUUUGAUAAAAAAAUAUAUAUAUAUAUUAUGACCCGGCGACAGUUGUUUACCUCUGACUAUACUCCUACAAUGGCAGAUGAUGAAGAUGAUGUUGAUUAUGGAUAUUAAAUUUAAGUUCUUGUAGUUUUAAAUUUAAGUUAAUGUUGUUUUUAAAUUUAAUUUUUAGUUUUUAAAUAUAAGUUGUUGUUGUUUUUAAAUUUAAAUAAUAAUUUAUGUUUAGCCUUCAGUUGGAGACGAUUUUUUGUGACAGGGCUAAAAAGAGUCCUAUGACGCUUUGACCCUCGGUUGGAGAUGGAGGCAAAUAUGACCAUGUACUGUUCAUUAAAAUAUUAAUAUCUUAGAAGGCCAAAGGGCUAAAACGAACCCUCUGGCCCUUGUUCGGUUUGAGAUGGUCUAAAGUCCUCAUUUUUAAGGCUUAGGCGGAACCAAAUGCAUAUUAGCUACAAGAUUAUACUAGUUUACAUCCAAAGACUUAAAUUAUUUGAUAAUUUAAUAAAGCAAAACCAACUUAAAAUAUUAGUUUAUUAAGUUGUCAAAUAUUUUAAGCAUUUGGACAUAAACUAAUAUGAUUUUGUGGCCAAUAUGCAUUUGAUCCUCAUAGAUUUUCAAAAUGAUGACCUUAGAAGAGCAAGACUGUUAAACAGAAAGUAGAGUAUGAGGAGGACAGGUGCAAUGAUAUAUAUAUAUAUAUAUAUAUAGUGACACACCCCGAUCGAGAUCAAGGCAUGAUGGCCAUCACAUGAGGGUGACGUAGCCAUGUGCACAAUGCGGAAGCAAUUAAGAUAAGAAAUAUACAAAUAAUUAAAAACUAAAACUACUAGAGUGCACUAGAAAGCGAGAAGUGUUAGGAGUCAAUUACGAAAGUAAAUACUCAUAAUCAGAGCAUAAUAAGUCUAGGUGCAGUCCAGUAGGACAAGUACUAGUUAUACAGUAUCAAGAAUGUCCUACUAUUGUUUAAAUAUGUCAGAACCGUCGAAAUCCUUAAGGCCACCGAUAGCAAGCUUACUUAAAACCUGGAGGAGCGCAAAACAGGAAACGUGAGUGGGCAAAAACAAAUGUUUUACAAAACCAUUUCAUUUAUCAACAUAUAUAAUCCCUCGCUGUAAAACAUGUAUAAUUUUUCCCAGAAUCAAGAUAUAUGCAUAUACAUAAAUAUUUAUGUAAUUAUAUCAAUUCAAAUCAUGCUUCACAUAAUCAUAUUCAUAUGUAUGCCAUGCCAAGAUAUAACAAAGUAAGCAAUUCAGGUAAGAAUAAUUUCAUAUAAAUAUAACAUGUUAGCCGGAACCCCUGUGGUAGUCUGUACGGCUGAAUUCAUAGCUCAAAAGUCAAUCUAGCCAAAGUCACUAUAAUGACCUAUACGGCACUAUAUUGCACAAGUGUCGGAACCAAAUGAAAAGGUCUGUACGACAAUAAUGGGUGUAAUAUAAUCAUGCUCAAUACUACUCACACAUAAUAUUGCACAAGUGUCGGAACCAAAUGAAAAGGUCUGUACGACAAUAAUGGGUGUAAUAUAAUCAUGCUCAAUACUACUCACACAUAAUAGUUGGACGAUAAAUCGCUAGUCACCUACGAGUCGGAACCACCUAAGAUGGUCUAUGCGACAGGACUGUGCACCUAAAUUGGAUCCAAUAUGAGCAUAUAGUGCGGGAGGUGACAUAAUAAACAGGCAUGUGCCAUAUCUCUGGCUAAAAUCACAAUCAUCCUAGGUGCAGUUUGAUGAGCUCAACGUUAUUCAAUCACAUAUCACAUCAUUGAUAAUUCACAUAACCAAACAUAACUCACCUGAGCUUACCUGAGCGUCCACAACACCACAAUUAUAUAUAUAAUGGAUCAUAUACCAAUUCAUAUAUGAAAUAUAAUUUCAUAUGCAUGGCAUGUAAGGCAUACUUUCAUUUAAACACAUAUUUCUUGGAAAAUAUCAAGUAUAUACAUAUAUACUGAAAACCAAAAGCCCACUCACGGAUAUGUUGAAGGGUUGUAGCCCCCAAGUCACCCUUGAACCCGCUCGUCCUCGGGAUAAGUCUCACCUAUAUGCGAAUUAACUAUAAAAACGUUAUUUAAAGCACAUAGGCAAAACUAGCUAAUAACUUCUCAUACAUAGCUCAAAUUGGGUAUAUGAAUAUACCAUAGUGACCUAUACAAUCUCAGGAUCGUCCCCAAAUUUUUAAAAUAAUUUUUCAUCCACCCACGGGCGACCACGCGCCGGCGAGUGCACAACAAGAUGCGCGGCCACGCGCAGGAAACCCUAACGGAAACAGUAACGACAGUUAGGGAAUAUUCCGCUAAAUCCUAACAGAUUCCGUUAAACUUAACUGAUGACGUCAGAAUAUUCCGUCAGAAUUGACGGAAUAUUCCGUCGUCUUCAACCUCAGACUCCGGCGACAGUCGUUGUCGCCGGAAAACUGGGAAUUUUUCAAAUCGCUAUAUCUCACUCAUUUUUCAUCCAUUUCCUACGAAAUUUGCACCAAAAUGAAGCUUACAACUUGAAGAACAUUUCCUUACCAAUUUGAAGCUCCAAAAGUCACGGAAUCUCGCCGGAGAAAUUCCACAAAAUCCGGCCAAGCUUGAAACUCCCGAUCCAGACGUCCAAUUUCACCCAAUGAACCAUUCCGAGCCUCCUUAGGACCUCCUAAAGCUUCAUAUGUCCUUAAAAUUCCCUAAAAAUCAACAUUUUACGUGAGCAUGAAUAGUACCUCAAAUCGGGGUUCGGAUUUCGCGAGUUUUUAAUGGAGUUCUUACCUGAAAAUGGUACCAUUCAACUCGUAUGGUUCUCACGAACACAAUGGUGUGCUUCAUACCCUCGAUCUUCACACUUUCGAUGGGUUUUGGGUGUAGUCCGUACAAGAGAGAAGAAGAGAGAGAGAGAGAGAGAGAGUGUGUCCGAGAGAGUACGGAAGGGUGAGAGAGAGAGGAAGUUUUGGGUGUGUGUGUGUGGUCCUCACACUGACACAUCACCAAACCCACAUCUACAACCAAACAAAAAGUCUAAGUCCCAAAUUAUCCAAAAUUAAGCUAGGGCAACCAAAUAAACCCUAAUAUUAAAUCCCAUGAAACAUUUAAGGGUAUUCUCGACAUUUCCCAUCCAUGAGAAUAAUUUUCCGGGACGGGCUGUGACAUAUAUGAAGUAUUAUUGGUACUUCAAAAAUCUCAUUCUACACUCCUCAUAAGUGUAUAUUUUUUUCCUAAUAUAGAAAGUUUGAAGUAUAAAAUGAAAUUUUUAGAAUGCUAAUAACAAUUCACAUAUAUAUAUAUAUAUAUAUAUAUAUAUAUAUAUAUAUAUAUAUAUAUAUAUAUCUUUCUUCCCUACUCGUAGAUAAAAAGAUGGAAAAAUAAUGUACAUGGGAAUGUAAGGCUAUACUUCCUCUGAAAAAUGUUUGAAAGCAACGCUGGCUACUCGGAGAAGCAAUUGCUUUGAAAGUCACCAAGAACUUUUUUAUUUUCUUCAUUAAUGUAAAAUCACCUUAAAAGAACUAUUAAACACAACAAAGUUGGUAUAUAUUUGAUUGUCUAAUUUUAAGUUAUUCAAGAUUUAAGUUGUUUAAUUUCAAAAACUUUGUGAUAUCGAGUACCAUUUCUAUGAUUGAUCUCUUUCUUAUGUAAAAAAAAUUAUUUUGUGGUACUAGAACACCAUCACAUAACUAACUUGUUAUUUUGUGCUCCAAGUUCCUUAAUUUGAAGAAAAACAAAUGGCUUGUAGCAAAAUUUUGGCCUACAUAAAAGCCCUUAGAUUAUAAGAAACUUACAAGAAUCCAAAAUGCAAAGCUAUUCAAUUCGAAGUUGCACAUCAAUAUAUGUGGGUCUAUCUUUAUUAAUAAGAAAAACUAAUGAAAAUGGCUUGAAAACUUUGAGUUUUAAUGAUAAGCACAAAAUAAAAGGUAAAGUGAAUAGUAGCAGGUUUGACUUUUUAGUGUACAAAUGUGGUUUUUCGAUAAACCAAUGGAGUUCUUACCUGAAAAUGGUACCAUUCAACUCGUAUGGUUCUCACAAACACAAUGGUGUGCUUCAUACCCUCGAUCUUCACACUUUCGAUGGGUUUUGGGUGUAGUCCGUACAAGAGAGAAGAAGAGAGAGAGAGAGAGAGUGUGUCUGAGAGAGUACGGAAGGGUGAGAGAGAGAGGAAGUUUUGGGUGUGUGUGUGUGGUCCUCACACUGACACAUCACCAAACCCACAUCUACAACCAAACAAAAAGUCUAAGUCCCAAAUUAUCCAAAAUUAAGCUAGGGCAACCAAAUAAACCCUAAUAUUAAAUCCCAUGAAACAUUUAAGGGUAUUCUCGACAUUUCCCAUCCAUGAGAAUAAUUUUCCGGGACGGGCUGUGACAUAUAUGAAGUAUUAUUGGUACUUCAAAAAUCUCAUUCUACACUCCUCAUAAGUGUAUAUUUUUUUCCUAAUAUAGAAAGUUUGAAGUAUAAAAUGAAAUUUUUUAGAAUGCUAAUAACAAUUCACAUAUAUAUAUAUAUAUAUGUAUAUCUUUCUUCCCUACUCGUAGAUAAAAAGAUGGAAAAAUAAUGUACAUGGGAAUGUAAGGCUAUACUUCCUCUGAAAAAUGUUUGAAAGCAACGCUGGCUACUCGGAGAAGCAAUUGCUUUGAAAGUCACCAAGAACUUUUUUAUUUUCUUCAUUAAUGUAAAAUCACCUUAAAAGAACUAUUAAACACAACAAAGUUGGUAUAUAUUUGAUUGUCUAAUUUUAAGUUAUUCAAGAUUUAAGUUGUUUAAUUUCAAAAACUUUGCGAUAUCGAGUACCAUUUCUAUGAUUGAUCUCUUUCUUAUGUAAAAAAAAUUAUUUUGUGGUACUAGAACACCAUCACAUAACUAACUUGUUAUUUUGUGCUCCAAGUUCCUUAAUUUGAAGAAAAACAAAUGGCUUGUAGCAAAAUUUUGGCCUACAUAAAAGCCCUUAGAUUAUAAGAAACUUACAAGAAUCCAAAAUGCAAAGCUAUUCAAUUCGAAGUUGCACAUCAAUAUAUGUGGGUCUAUCUUUAUUAAUAAGAAAAACUAAUGAAAAUGGCUUGAAAACUUUGAGUUUUAAUGAUAAGGACAAAAUAAAAGGUAAAGUCAAUAGUAGCAGGUUUGACUUUUUAGUGUACAAAUGUGGUUUUUCGAUAAACCAAUGGAGUUCUUACCUGAAAAUGGUACCAUUCAACUCGUAUGGUUCUCACAAACACAAUGGUGUGCUUCAUACCCUCUAUCUUCACACUUUCGAUGGGUUUUGGGUGUAGUCCGUACAAGAGAGAAGAAGAGAGAGAGAGAGAGAGAGUGUGUCCGAGAGAGUACGGAAGGGUGAGAGAGAGAGGAAAUUUUGGGUGUGUGUGUGUGGUCCUCAUACUGACACAUCACCAAACCCACAUCUACAACCAAACAAAAAGUCUAAGUCCCAAAUUACCCAAAAUUAAGCUAGGGCAACCAAAUAAACCCUAAUAUUAAAUCCCAUGAAACAUUUAAGGGUAUUCUCGACAUUUCCCAUCCAUGAGAAUAAUUUUCCGGGACGGGCUGUGACAUAUAUGAAGUAUUAUUGGUACUUCAAAAAUCUCAUUCUACACUCCUCAUAAGUGUAUAUUUUUUUCCUAAUAUAGAAAGUUUGAAGUAUAAAAUGAAAUUUUUAGAAUGCUAAUAACAAUUCACAUAUAUAUAUAUAUAUAUGUAUGUAUAUCUUUCUUCCCUACUCGUAGAUAAAAAAGAUGGAAAAAAUAAUGUACAUGGGAAUGUAAGGCUAUACUUCCUCUGAAAAAUGUUUGAAAGCAACGCUGGCUACUCGGAGAAGCAAUUGCUUUGAAAGUCACCAAGAACUUUUUUAUUUUCUUCAUUAAUGUAAAAUCACCUUAAAAGAACUAUUAAACACAACAAAGUUGGUAUAUAUUUGAUUGUCUAAUUUUAAGUUAUUCAAGAUUUAAGUUGUUUUAAUUUCAAAAACUUUGUGAUAUCGAGUACCAUUUCUAUGAUUGAUCUCUUUCUUAUGUAAAAAAAUUAUUUUUUGUGGUACUAGAACACCAUCACAUAACUAACUUGUUAUUUUGUGCUCCAAGUUCCUUAAUUUGAAGAAAAACAAAUGGCUUGUAGCAAAAUUUUGGCCUACAUAAAAGCCCUUAGAUUAUAAGAAACUUACAAGAAUCCAAAAUGCAAAGCUAUUCAAUUCGAAGUUGCACAUCAAUAUAUGUGGGUCUAUCUUUAUUAAUAAGAAAAACUAAUGAAAAUGGCUUGAAAACUUUGAGUUUUAAUGAUAAGCACAAAAUAAAAGGUAAAGUGAAUAGUAGCAGGUUUGACUUUUUAGUGUACAAAUGUGGUUUUUCGAUAAACCAAUGGAGUUCUUACCUGAAAAUGGUACCAUUCAACUCGUAUGGUUCUCACGAACACAAUGGUGUGCUUCAUACCCUCGAUCUUCACACUUUCGAUGGGUUUUGGGUGUAGUCCGUACAAGAGAGAAGAAGAGAGAGAGAGAGAGAGAGAGAGUGUGUCCGAGAGAGUACGGAAGGGUGAGAGAGAGAGGAAGUUUUGGGUGUGUGUGUGUGGUCCUCACACUGACACAUCACCAAACCCACAUCUACAACCAAACAAAAAGUCUAAGUCCCAAAUUAUCCAAAAUUAAGCUAGGGCAACCAAAUAAACCCUAAUAUUAAAUCCCAUGAAACAUUUAAGGGUAUUCUCGACAUUUCCCAUCCAUGAGAAUAAUUUUCCGGGACGGGCUGUGACAUAUAUGAAGUAUUAUUGGUACUUCAAAAAUCUCAUUCUACACUCCUCAUAAGUGUAUAUUUUUUUCCUAAUAUAGAAAGUUUGAAGUAUAAAAUGAAAUUUUUAGAAUGCUAAUAACAAUUCACAUAUAUAUAUAUAUAUAUGUAUAUCUUUCUUCCCUACUCGUAGAUAAAAAGAUGGAAAAAUAAUGUACAUGGGAAUGUAAGGCUAUACUUCCUCUGAAAAAUGUUUGAAAGCAACGCUGGCUACUCGGAGAAGCAAUUGCUUUGAAAGUCACCAAGAACUUUUUUAUUUUCUUCAUUAAUGUAAAAUCACCUUAAAAGAACUAUUAAACACAACAAAGUUGGUAUAUAUUUGAUUGUCUAAUUUUAAGUUAUUCAAGAUUUAAGUUGUUUAAUUUCAAAAACUUUGCGAUAUCGAGUACCAUUUCUAUGAUUGAUCUCUUUCUUAUGUAAAAAAAAUUAUUUUGUGGUACUAGAACACCAUCACAUAACUAACUUGUUAUUUUGUGCUCCAAGUUCCUUAAUUUGAAGAAAAACAAAUGGCUUGUAGCAAAAUUUUGGCCUACAUAAAAGCCCUUAGAUUAUAAGAAACUUACAAGAAUCCAAAAUGCAAAGCUAUUCAAUUCGAAGUUGCACAUCGAUAUAUGUGGGUCUAUCUUUAUUAAUAAGAAAAACUAAUGAAAAUGGCUUGAAAACUUUGAGUUUUAAUGAUAAGGACAAAAUAAAAGGUAAAGUCAAUAGUAGCAGGUUUUACUUUUUAGUGUACAAAUGUGGUUUUUCGAUAAAGUGAACAGUAUCAUGAGCUUUUCGUUAAAACUCUCUUAUUAAUAUGAUACAAAUAUGAGAUUUAAAUUGGGGCAAAAAUAUAUAGCAUUUUUGUUUAAAGAAUGGUCUCAAGAGAAAGAAUCAAUGCGAAUAAGUGAGGAGCAAAUUACCAACUAUUUUCUCUUUAGGCCAGCAUUUGUUGGUUUGUUCCAAGUUAAGCAGAUAUGUUCUCGUCUCUUAAAUUCGAUGCCAAAUUUGGCAAGUUCUCUGGACACUUGGAUGGUGAAAACUUCGUGGGAAUUUGUGCUUUUACAUGCGUAUAAGCCUAUAAGGUAGUACAACCUUUUAAGUUUUAAGAGUAAUGUUAUUCAUACCAUGUUUUUGUAUCAUAUUUUCAUACCACUUUAGAUGGCAUUUGAUGUGAACAGUCACAUCAUUUGAAUUAAUCAAAUUUUUAAAUUUAGUUCAUUAUUUAAUAAACUAAUAAUUAAGAAAAAUUAAUUAAUUAAAUCAUGAUUGUGGUAUACUAGGAGUCUUUCUCCUUCCUUUCCUUAGGUUUUGUAAAUUUUUCAGAUGAUAUGGAUGUCCACAUCAGAUGCCACUAUGAAAAUGUGGUACAAAAACAUGGUAUAAAUAGCAUUACUCAAGUUUUAAUAUUCCUGUAAUUUUUAUACUAUAUCUAAUUAGUAAUCACAAUGAACAUUAAGGCUGGAAAAAAAAAAUCACAAUCCACUAGUAAGUUUUUGGUGCUCCUAAAGCGGUUUCAAUUUGCUGCAUAUAAUCUCUGUCAAUAAAAUACAGAUGAUUCAAUUUCCCAAACCCAUGCCGAAUGGGGAUGGAGUGGGGAGGAUGGGGGGAUGGGGUUAUUUUGGGAGUGAGGACUGCAGGAGGGCGUAUCCGAGUCGGAUAAUCCGACCUCGCCUUGCCAGUUAUUAUCUCCAAUAAACUGAACAUUUGCGACUAAUUAAGUACUUAUGCAUGAAGCACUUGAAAAUAUUUCCUGAAGAAGCAUGCAUGUGUUCUUCCACGAUAUUUGAUCACGUUAAAAAAGUUUUAACUCUUUCAAAAAUAGUUUAACAAAUCGAGUCUUUGGAGAUAUUCUUGAUCACUUUAUGAGAGAUUUAGAAUGAGAGAUAUUGUCGAUUACACUCAAGUUUCUCCCAUAUGUCUUUUAUAAAGGCCAAAGUGCAUGCUUAUCUCCAUUAAUUAUACUACAAACUAAGAGCUUUAGGGAUAACAAUUAAUCUAUAAUCUUUUCCCAAUUCAUGAGUUAAGAACUUGAGAGUGAGAGAGAGAUACAUAUCAACUCAUAUCUCAAUAUGCGUGCACGAAGUGAUUUGGUCAUCUUGUAAACAAGAGAACUGAAGUUGACACGAGAGGAGGAUAGCAAACCAAGCCCUCCAUUAUCAAGAUUCCUUCGGACGUUUCUCGGGAGACAUGUGCUUCCCACAUGCCUCGAGGCCCCCAACUACACCUUACUAUCUACUGUAGGCCCCACCUCCCAGCAACUAUCACCCUUGCUUCUUCCCUCUCCGUGCAUCUAUAAAUUCAGGACGAUGGUGCAGAUUGGAGAUACAGCAAGCAAAAUACCCUUCGAGCUAAACCCUAAAACACACUUCAGUUCCAAGUUCUAAGUUCAUCUGCAACAUGUCGGGGAAGUGCGACAACUGCGACUGCGCUGACAGCACCCAGUGCGUGUAAGUAAUGCUUCUUUAUCAGUUUAGUUAUGGAUCUGUAAAUCUUGCAUGGCUAAAUACUGGUUUGGUACUGAGCUUAAAAAGGUGUUUGGUAAAUAAUUAAAAAUAACUUAUUUUUACGGUUUUGGGUGAAAAAAAAAAACUGAAAACGGGAAGCAGCAAAAAUAAGUUUAUUCUCACAACACAGCCGAAAUAGUUUUUAUUACAAUGAUAGUGUAUUUGUGUUAUGAAAGUCUUUCUUUUGUAUAUAGACUAUACAGAUGGGAAGGUCUUGGAUAUCCUCGUAGGUAUGACACCAUGGAUGUAUCGCUGAAGACUAAACCCUAGCUAUAGUGCUAAUCAAAUCAAGAUACGUGAUUAGUGCUAUAGGAAUAUGGUGAUAUAUCCUCGGUGACACCUAAAUGUUUCUCGAAUAGAAAGGGUUCGACUAGGGUUACCAACUAGUAGUUUACUCGCUUAAUAACAAGAUUAUAUAGGGUAUUUACUUGCUUAAUGCGAAUUAAAUAACUGAUGGAGGGCUUAACUGAAAUGAUUUAGCUCUAGUAUGUGGUAUUUCUCUUCUUGACGUUGAAGAUCUGCUGUUUCGGAUUCAUUUUUUUCGAUCUAAUUGGUGCAUAUAUGCCUUCAAAGCUUUAAAAUGCCAAUUUUUUAAAUCGCAGGAAGAAGGGAAACAGCUACGACUUGGUGAUCGUUGAGACUGAGAACCGGUACUUUUGUCAUAAACUUCAAUACAUUUUAAGAAUUAACUUUUCUUCUCUUUGUUUCCUUCAGACUAACUGUGGAGAGUUUUGAUUAAUUUUGCAGCUCCAUGGACCGUCUUCGUGGAUGCUCCUGCCGCCGAGCACGACGGAAAGUGCAAGUGCGGCACAGGCUGCUCAUGUGUGAGCUGCACCUGUGGUCACUAAACCCAUACAACCAAAUUAAAGAUGUAAACGAAUAAAGUGUUUGUGGGAAAACAACGUUGUGGCUUUGUCUUUGGUUUGUUUAUAGUAUUUGUGUCUGUUGAGUGACAUGUAGUGUCUGUGAAAACCUGUCACUGUCUCUGUGAUUGUGUCAUGUAAUCGCCAUGUUCGUGGCCUUGUGAUGUUAUGAAAUGAUAUUAUUAGAAUACAUGCUUUGGCUCUCUUAAUUCCAUUUUAUUUUCUCCCUAACCAUAAUUUUGCUUCACAUCAUAGCUGCAAUUAAUCAAGGAAUUGCAGAUAGGAAUGUAAUAGAUGUAUUCUUGCAUACAAUAUUGUGGAUAAUGGACUUAUAGCUCAAGUAGUUUAAUUUACCCUUUCAUCUGAGGUUUGAUGUUCGAUUAUCCCUCCGAUAUCACCGUUAUAUAAAAAUGAAAUAAAAUAUGACGGAUAUGUCCAAUAUGUUCUUAUUGGAAACCCUUUUGGAUCUUGGGAUUGGUAUUAAAUGG